AGAGUUUGAUCAUGGCUCAGAUAGAACGCUGGCGGCAGGCCUAACACAUGCAAGUCGAGCGGAAACGACACUAACAAUCCUUCGGGUGCGUUAAUGGGCGUCGAGCGGCGGACGGGUGAGUAAUGCCUAGGAAAUUGCCUUGAUGUGGGGGAUAACCAUUGGAAACGAUGGCUAAUACCGCAUGAUGCCUACGGGCCAAAGAGGGGGACCUUCGGGCCUCUCGCGUCAAGAUAUGCCUAGGUGGGAUUAGCUAGUUGGUGAGGUAAUGGCUCACCAAGGCGACGAUCCCUAGCUGGUCUGAGAGGAUGAUCAGCCACACUGGAACUGAUACACGGCCCAGACCCCUACGGGAGGCAGCAGUGGGGAAUAUUGCACAAUGGUUUAAAGCCUGAUGCAGCCAUGCCGCGUGUAUGAAGAAGGCCUUCGGGUUGUAAAGUACUUUCAGUUGUGAGGAAGGGUGUGUAGUUAAUAGCUGCGAUCUUGACGUUAGCAACAUAAGAAGCACCGGCUAACUCCGUGCCAGCAGCCGCGGUAAUACGGAGGGUGCGAGCGUUAAUCUGAAUUACUGGGCGUAAAGCGCAUGCAUGUGGUUCAUUAAGUCAGAUGUGAAAGCCCGGGGCUCAACCGUCAGAACUGCAUUUCAUACUCGUCGAACUAAAGUACUGUAUAGGGGGUCUGAAUUUCAGGUGUAGCGCUGGAAUGAGUAUAGAUCUGACUUGAAUUACCUGUGGCCGACGGCGGCCCCCUUGGACAGAAUACUGAUCACUCUCAAUGCUGAAAGCAGUGGUGCAGCCAACAAG
rnacentral:rRNA from 1 species